rnacentral:sRNA from 1 species
AGAUCAAGAAACAAGAAAGUAAAGAGGGCUCUCCAGAACUGUACAUGUCAUUGUGGCAUUACCAUUAAGAGGUUUCCAGUCCAAGAAAGUCUUAUUUGGAAGUGAAAAAGAUCAAGAAACAAGAAAGUAAAGAGGGCUCUCCAGAACUGUACAUGUCAUUGUGGCAUUACCAUUAAUGUGAAGUUAU